AACGCGAAGAACCUUACCCAGGUUAGAAGUACAAAGCGAGUAUGCAGAGAUGCAUACGCCCGCAAGGGGUUUUGUAUAGGUGCUGCAUGGCUGUCGUCAGCUCGUGCCGUGAGGUGUUGGGUUAAGUCCCGCAACGAGCGCAACCCUUAUCAUUAGUUGCCAACAUUUAAGGUGGGGACUCUAAUGAGACUGCCUAGGUUAACUAGGAGGAAGGUGAGGAUGACGUCAAGUCCGCAUGGCCUUUAUGUCUGGGGCUACACACGUGCUACAAUGGUCGGUACAGAAGGCUGCGAAACCGCGAGGUGGAGCAAAUCCAAAAAGCCGAUCUCAGUUCAGAUUGUAGUCUGCAACUCGGCUACAUGAAGUCGGAAUUGCUAGUAAUGGCGUGUCAGCAACAGCGCCGUGAAUACGUUCCCGGGCCUUGUACACACCGAGUAUA
rnacentral:rRNA from 1 species